GAGACUGUCAAUACCAAAUGAAGAGGCUGAGUUGAUCCUUGUGGAACCAGAAGAUGCUAGAAGAUUUUGUGUUUGUGCUUCACAUAGAAAUCGGAAACUGAAAAAUCCCAUCGGCUCGCUUGGACAGGAGAACAGCAUAGCUUCCGUGCGGGAACGUGUGUCAAUCUCACAAUCCGUUAGCCCAGGUAGCGGGUGACAUUUCAGUAGCGUGUAUGCUGCUCACCAAUGCUAUGGAACAGAUGUGAAGACUGAUAACACUCGUGGAUCCAUCAGAAAUAUUUUUACUUGAGAACGACAAGGAGUGAUGAGGUGACGUCAGUGACCCUUCAAGAAACAGCAACGCUUUCAGGUGACGUCCAAUCCUUCUGCCUCAGGGACCAGCCAUGCCGGGUGGGUCACCCUCAGCACACUGCAGCCCCUCCUGAGUUUCCUGUGGGUCCUGCCCCAGGCUGCCUGUCUGGCCCGGUCAGGACAGGGCCGGGGGACUGUGAGAUCUGGGAAGCAGACGUGUGCCGUGAGGUAAGGAGGAAUCCCUGGGGGUCAGCAACUCUGUGGUGGUUUCAGAAAGAGCUGUGAUGUUCAACCUGGUCCCGGGUCAGCAGGGUCGGCCUCACUUGGGGGCUGUCAGGGAAGCAACCCUGGGCCUACUGCUCAGGAGCUCUGGGGUGGACCUGGAGCCCCGUGUCUUACCCUCCAGGUCAUUCCGGGGCCGGCUGUCUCAGGGAGGAGAGUGUGACGGUGCGCAUCUUGUGGCUUAGGGCCCUCCCCCUGGAUUGCACACAUUCCAUCUGUGCUUGUGGAGUUACCGAGUCCCUCUAGGUACGCAGGGCACGACCGUGAACAGAGUCCCUGUGUGCCUGUAUUCUAGGUGGGAGGUGGGGAGAUGGGGGACCAGACACGAACAUGUAAAACAGUUAGAACAGUUUCACAGUAACGCCAGUGCUCUGAAUGAAAUGAAACAGCGUGAGAGGAAGGGAGGGAGGGAGAGGUGAUGUGACUCUCCGAGGGGGGGCAUCUGAAUGAACCCGAGGACCAGGCCCCCCGUGUUGGCCUGGAGCAGCUGUCUCGCCUGGGGCUGUGGCUCAAGGUUGCUGGGUUUCUGACUCAGUAGGGCUGGGGUGGGACCCCAGCACGUGCUGCGUUGCUGACAAGUUCCCAGGAGGGGCGAUUGCUGCCGGCUGGGGACGUGUUUUGGAAACUUUUGGUCUAGAGAGAACAUUCCAGAAAGAGGGCACUGCAAGCAUUAAGACUGGGACUUGGGAGGUGAGACAGGCCUAGUGGAUGUGGUGGUUGGGAUAAAGGAAAGUUACUGGUGGGGUGAGGCAGGAGAGGAACAUGGUCUCAUCCGCACUCGUGAAAUAUCGGUCUGGCUGGGUUUGCCGUGGAAGAAUGAUUUGGGGGCAGAGGUGGGAGC